UACGUAGGGUGCGAGAGUUAAUCGGAAUUACUGGGCGUAAAGGGCGCGCAGGCGGUAUAUCAAGUCAGCUGUCAAAGACUGGGGCUCAACCCUGGUAUGCGGUUGAAACUGAUAUGCUGGAGUGCUGUAGAGGCAAGUGGAAUUCCCAGUGUAGCGGUGAAAUGCGUAGAUAUUGGGAAGAACACCGGUGGCGAAGGCGACUUGCUGGGCAGCAACUGACGCUGAGGCGCGAAAGCCAGGGGAGCAAACGGGAUUA
rnacentral:rRNA from 1 species